rnacentral:tRNA from 1 species
AGCGGAGUCGCCAAGUGGUAAGGCACCGGAUUUUGAUUCCGAUAUUCGCAGGUUCGAAUCCUGCCUCCGCUGCCA